rnacentral:rRNA from 1 species
AUACGUAGGGGGCGAGCGUUGUCCGGAAUGACUGGGCGUAAAGGGCGUGUAGGCGGCCGAUUAAGUCUGGAGUGAAAGUCCCGCUUUCAAGGUGGGAAUUGCUUUGGAGACUGGUUGGCUUGAGUGCGGAAGAGGGAAGUGGAAUUCCCAGUGUAGCGGUGAAAUGCGUAGAGAUUGGGAGGAACACCAGUGGCGAAGGCGACUUACUGGGCCGUAACUGACGCUGAGGCGCGAAAGCGUGGGGAGCGAACAGGAUUAGAUACCCUGGUAGUCCACGCUGUAAACGAUGAAUGCUAGGUGUAGGGGGUAUCGACCCCUCCUGUGCCGGAGUAAACGCAAUAAGCAUUCCGCCUGGGGAGUACGGCCGCAAGGUUGAAACUCAAAGGAAUUGACGGGG